rnacentral:rRNA from 1 species
GGAUAAGUGACGCGCGGGCGAGUAACGCGUAUGUAACCUGCGUGGUGGCGGGGGAGAUCUAUUGAAAACAAUAUCUAUUACCGCCUAGCACUAGAUGUGGCAUGAGUUUUGCUUAAAAGGGGCUAUUGCGUGACUACCAGAUGGGGCUGCGUUGUUUUAGCUAUUGGGAGGGGUAACGGCUCACCACCGCGACAAUACAUAGCCGACAUGAGAGGGUGAUCGGCCACACUGUGACUGAGACACGGCCCCCACUCUUACGGGAGGCAGCAGAAGGGAAUCUUCUCGGAUGGACGGAAGACUGACCCAGCAACGCCGCGUGAGUGUAGAAAGUUUUUUGAUUUUAAAUUUCUGUGGUAAGAGAAGAACGAGAGUGAGAGUGGAAAGAUCUCACUGUGACGG